rnacentral:piRNA from 1 species
UGAAUCUUAUUUUGGCACCUC